AAGCAUGACCCCGCAUGAGUGUCAUUCCACAACUCCAGCAAGGCAUAGCCCACUUCCACAGCCAUUAUGGUAACCGUUCGUGAUAGGAGUAUUUGACUGUUCACGUUCACUUUAUCAGCUAGAAUUUUUAUUGUAUCUUUUGAAGCAGAUGUGCUGCUGCGGAAACUAGGUGGAAGUGUUGGGUUCUCAGAGAAAUUCAUGUAGAAACAAUCAAGAAUGACAUUAUAUUCUUUAUCUGACAUCACACCGUGUAAUAAACCAAC
rnacentral:lncRNA from 1 species